GAAUGUAAGGGUGAUCUGGCUGCGACAUCUGUCACCUCAUAGAUCUCCAAGGUUGAUGGGGCUGACCUGGCUGGUUAGGCGGGGUUCCCUUCCUCCCUCACCGCUUCAUGUGUGUCCCUCCUGAAGCAAAGCUGCAAGCUGCGUGCUGGGUCGAAAAGGACGACCUUCCCCAAAUAGAGGAGGACUGGUCUUAGGUCAAGGGUACACGAGUAGUUGCACACCCCUGCUAGAACCUCCACACAAGCUCUCAAGAAAACAUGUUCCCUGCCUUUUAAAAAAAAAUUAACCUCUCAGACUUUCAUCAUUUCCUGUGGAGCAUCCAUUGUGUAUCCCUGGCUUCUUCA
rfam:Cricetulus griseus cell line CHO-K1, whole genome shotgun sequence.